rnacentral:tRNA from 1 species
GGGCGGUUAGCUCAGUUGGUUAGAGCAUCCCGCUUACACCGGGAAGGUCCUCCGUUCAAGUCGGAGACCGCCCACCA